rnacentral:rRNA from 1 species
GUGAGGAAUAUUGCGCAAUGGAGGCAACUCUGACGCAGCCAUGCCGCGUGCAGGAAGAAGGCGCUACGCGUUGUAAACUGCUUUUAACCGGGAAGAAACCCCAGGACGUGUCCUGGGUUGACGGUACCGGAGGAAUAAGCACCGGCUAACUUCGUGCCAGCAGCCGCGGUAAUACGAAGGGUGCAAGCGUUAUCCGGAUUCAUUGGGUUUAAAGGGUGCGUAGGCGGAGCGUUAAGUCAGUGGUGAAAUACUGCAGCUUAACUGUAGACUUGCCAUUGAUACUGGCGCUCUUGAGUGCGCUUGAAGUGGGCGGAAUGUGCCGUGUAGCGGUGAAAUGCUUAGAUAUGGCACAGAACACCAAUUGCGAAGGCAGCUCACUAAGGCGAUACUGACGCUGAGGCACGAAAGCGUGGGGAUCGAACAGGAUUAGAAACCCCUGUAGUCC